CCCAUCUUCCUCUACUUCCACGGUGGCGCCUUUUGCGUCGAAUCCGCCUUCUCCUUUUUCGUCCACCGCUAUCUCAACAUCUUGGCCUCAGAAGCCAACAUAAUAGCCAUCUCCGUCGACUUCAGACUCCUCCCACACCACCCUAUCCCUGCUGCCUACGAAGACGGUUGGACCACCCUCAAAUGGAUUGCUUCCCACGCCAACAACACCAACACCACCAACCCGGAGCCAUGGCUACUCAACCACGCCGACUUCACCAAAGUCUACGUAGGAGGUGAAACCAGCGGUGCUAACAUCGCACACAACCUGCUUUUGCGUGCAGGUAACGAAUCCCUCCCCGGGGAUCUGAAAAUAUUGGGUGGAUUACUAUGCUGCCCCUUCUUCUGGGGCUCGAAGCCAAUUGGGUCGGAGGCUGUUGAGGGGCACGAGCAGAGUUUGGCCAUGAAGGUCUGGAAC
rnacentral:lncRNA from 1 species